rnacentral:sRNA from 1 species
GUCAGAAUCCGGGGGUU